CGGACGGGUGAGUAAUGUCUGGGAAACUGCCCGAUGGAGGGGGAUAACCACUGGAAACGGUAGCUAAUACCGCAUAACGUCGCAAGACCAAAGAGGGGGACCUUAGGGCCUCUUGCCAUCGGAUGUGCCCAGAUGGGAUUAGCUAGUAGGUGGGGUAACGGCUCACCUAGGCGACGAUCCCUAGCUGGUCUGAGAGGAUGACCAGCCACACUGGAACUGAGACACGGUCCAG
rnacentral:rRNA from 1 species